CGACCUUCUGGUUUCGAUUUAUCGCGUCUAGUCUGGCCGCGAUAAGUCGAACCCAGAAGUUCGAUUUCCAGCCGUCGAACUUGCCGGUAAGUGUAGCCAAGGCCUAAGCUUCAUUGAUGGCAGGGAAUGGCUUCCUCAAGUUAAGAUGUCAAAGCAGUGGCCCGCUAGGGGGGCAGCCUGAAGUGAAGAGGUGAAACGGCAUGAUGCAGAAAGAAGAGGAAGAUAUUUCUGUGUAUACUAUAUGUGUAUCAUUUUACUAGUAUUGCAUUUUUCCUGAGAAACUGAGGUCAGUUGGAGAUCUGUCCUAGUGCCAGGGCAUCAAUUGGCAAAAGACAAAGAGAACAGAAACACC
rnacentral:lncRNA from 1 species